UACAGAGGGUGCGAGCGUUGUCCGGAAUCACUGGGCGUAAAGGGCGCGUAGGUGGCGACCCAAGUCGAUGGUGAAAGCUCGCCGCUCAACGGCGAGUCGGCCACCGAUACUGGGUUGCUGGAGCACUGUAGAGGCUCAUGGAAUUCCGGGUGUAGCGGUGGAAUGCGUAGAGAUCCGGAAGAACACCGGUGGCGAAGGCGGUGAGCUGGGCAGUUGCUGACACUGAGGCGCGAAAGCGUGGGGAGCAAACAGG
rnacentral:rRNA from 1 species